UAUACACAGAAAACACCACUGCUAAAUGCAAAACCCCCUCGAAAGCCUAAAACCCCCGCACCCAAAAACACAAAACCCUUCAAAAUCUCCACCACCAAAAAUGUCCGCUGCCAGAUCCGUCCUCCGCUCCGCCGCUUCCCGAGUUACCGCGGCCACCAGGCUUGCCGCUGCACCCAAGCCCAUGCCGCGACCGGCUUGCUCUCCCAUUCGGAUCUCAAAGCAAAACCCGCUCUCUUCUCGCAUUUUCAGGUCACCGGUGGAGCUGAGCUGCUGUGUGGAAACGAUGCUGCCGUAUCACACAGCUACGGCGUCGGCUUUGCUGACUUCGAUGCUUUUCGGCUCUCACCGGAGCUUCGGUUGGAACCCUGAAGAUUGCAAAGAUGAUGUAUGAUGAAUGUCGGAGAGUUCGGGCAAAGUUUUUGAUAAAUGCUCUCUAAGGCAAGGUGGUGGUAUAAAGCUUUGUAGUAGGGUCUUUAGAUGCUUUUUCCCUGUUCAUAAAUUUAACAAGGUGAUGAGUAACAUUUUAUUAGUCAACAAAAUGGAAGGAAUUAAAUAAUAGACAGGUGCCCUUGAAGGUUUUGUAAUUGAAACAUAGGAUAUGAUGAUGAUGUUUUGUUAUUUUUACUAAUGUUUGUUACUUUUAAUUUGAACUACUCUUAAGAUGCGGGGGUGUAAGGGAAGAAACAGUAUUCAUGGGAAAUUUUGUCUCCGAAAAAUUAAAUUUCAUGCUCAUGUUGAUAUUUUGUAGUUUCCCGAGGAAUUUUUAUUUCCAGGAUAUUGAAGUUUUUGGAAUGACAUAUGCUUCCACCCUUGUCCUGUUCUGAAUCCUAGGUUUUGAACCUAUAACCUUCCUAGUCUGCUAUCUUCUGCUUCCAUUGGUCAUGUCCAUUUUCUUAUAACUUGGGCUAUUUUGAUUCGGGUUUAUGAUCAGCAUACUUGUGGAGUAUGCCUUAAUAGAUGGAUGAUUGUGGUUGGGAUGCGGUGAAAUGUUCAUCUCCAUGAAAAAUUCAACCGAACUUUGUAGGACUUGAUGCAUUUAUUCUCCUUGGUUGAAUGUGAAAAUCCAAUUUUAUACAACAUUUGUUCUGUGAGAAUCUGGAAGUAGGUAUCAGAAGGGACAGAUCUUUUUUUAUUCUGAUAAGUCUAAUACCAGUUAUCACCAGGUUUAAUUUCUGCUUCCUGCUUUUUCCCCUCAAUAAAUUGAAAAGUUCUGCAUUUCCUUUGUGGCUUAUCAUAGUGGUUGCCAUGGAUAGCAAGCUUUAGACAUGCAUGUAAUCUGGCUUUUCUUGAGUAAUUGUCCCACAGGCUCUGAGCCUAUUGGGUCAUCUGGUAUAAUAAAACAUUAUCUUUCUCUUUUAUAAUGGGAGUUUCAGAUUAAAUUUUUUUUGGGAGUUUCAGAUUAAAUUUUUUUGUGGACUGCAUGGGAUGAAGUCGGAUUGAUUCAAAUCUAGUGUUAUUUUGCAGCUAUCCGCCAUUCUCAGUCCGCAGUCACUACCAUGAAAAACAUGACUAUGUAAAAGUUCCAUAACUCCGGCUGAUAUAGUCGUAUAUGUUUUCUUUUUCCUCACCAAUGAAGUUUCUCUUUUCAAAUAAAGUUUACUUAAAAAAGAAAAAUUAGAAUUCCUAAUGCAACAGAUCAACACUAACCAAUCUGUUUUCUGAAACUGUAGUGGUAGAAAUUAAAAUUGUUAUUUUCCUGUAAAAAUUAACUUUGUCUUAAAACACAGAGGUAAUGUAUCAUGCAGAGCAUUGGGUCAGUAGUAAAGAUCAAUAGAGGGUGAGCUGGUAGCCUUAGGUUGUACCUUUCAUACGGUCAAUCUUUCUCACCGACAAUAUAAAAAAAAUUCCAUGAAACACCUUUAUCGUGUGUAAUUUCUAGGUUACUAUAAACCUAUUAAAUACAAUUUAGUUUUUUUUUUUUUAUCACAACAA